rnacentral:lncRNA from 1 species
UUUACUUUACAUUAUAAGAGAUCUUUUUGCCGCCCAUUAUUUAGGAUUAAAAUCACCUCCCCAAGAGGGUCUCUUAUAAAAACGAAAGUAGGCAAGGAAACAAGGGACACUCAAUUCAUCAAUCAAUCAAAAAAACCAACAACCAGAAAAACAACCAAAAGUUCACUUGGAUUCCAAGAGAAACCAGCUUUAGAUCAGAAAUCCAAAGUUCAGACUUAGAAA